CGAUWCCCGCUGAAUUUAGCAUAUCAGUAAGCGGAGGAAAAGAAACUWYCAGGAUUCUCCCAGUAACGGCGAGUGAACGGAGAUUAGCCCAGCACCGAAGCCUAUCUGCGUUUGUGGACAAGGCAAUGUGGUGUUUAGGCGUGCCCCUGGAAUCAUUCGUCUACUCGAAGUCCAACUCCGAUUAUGGCUUUGGAUCUGUCCCAUAGAGGGUGAAAGGCCCGUACGAGUAGACAUGAAGCAUAAUGAAUGGUUCUCAGAUGGGUGCGUCUUGGAGUCGGAUUGCUUGAGAAUGCAGUCCAAAGCGGGUGGUAAACUCCAUCCAAGGCUAAAUACUGGCACGAAUCCGAUAGUAACAAGUACCGUGAGGGAAAGUUGAAAAGUACUCUGAAGAGAGAGUAAAUAGUACGUGAAGCCGCCUGUAGAGAAGCUGGUGGAGUCAAGCUCCAUGCUCGAAUGAUUAACAAGGAGAGGCAUUGUUGUAAUUGACCCUGCAGUCGAGUAACCUGCAAAUGGUUAGACGGAGUCAAAUCCGUUCCAAGCAUUUCGGUUAUGGUGUUUGUUUUGGCUGUGCGGGGUUGGCCUCUUGUGUUCUACCAUCGAGCAGCCACCAUGGUUGAUACACUCUUGGUGCGUGGUUGUCAAACUGUGCUCAUGUCGGUCACAAGCUGGCUGGGUACAGGAUGGCAGGUUGCGUCUGGGUUUCUAAUCCAGGCGCUUAUAACGGUUUUCCGGCCGAUGACCAUGCUAUCAUUACUAUUGAGAGUAUCAUUCAAUGCUAGGCGUGUCCAUAUCAAUUGGUAGCGUCUGCAGAACUAUGGUGUUGGAGUAGAUUUUCCACCCGACCGUCUUGAACACGGACCAAAUCACU
rnacentral:rRNA from 1 species